rnacentral:rRNA from 1 species
CCCUUAGAUGUUCUGGGCCGCACGCGCGCUACACUGAUGCAUUCAACAAGCCUAGCCUUGACCGAGAGGUCCGGGUAAUCUUUGAAACUGCAUCGUGAUGGGGCUAGAUUAUUGCAAUUAUUAAUCUUCAACGAGGAAUGCCUAGUAAGCGUGAUUCAUCAAAUCGCGUUGAUUACGUCCCUGCCCUUUGUACACACCGCCCAUCGCUCCUACCGAUUGAAUGUGUUGGUGAGGAGCUCGGAUUGGCAGCAGUUGGUGGUUCGCCACCGGCUAUUGCUGAGAAGUCCUCCAAACCGCCCCAUUUAGAGGAAGGAGAAGUCGUAACA